rnacentral:lncRNA from 1 species
CAUCAGCCAUCAGAUCAGAUAGGAACCUCUAAUGUGUGUGACCCCGCAGGUUCGAACCUAAGCCGGUAGCACAGGAACCAAUUUCUGUACUAAUUGAAGUGACCAUCUAGCAAUGGUAUCCGACAUUCGGAUAGGUCGAAGAGUCACAAUCGCAACACUCAAAACCUACAUGAAUAUGGUUACUGUAUAAUUCAUCCUUUUGACCCCUGUGUUUAAGAUGACUCAGGAUUAAACUGUCAACCCUGAUC